ACGUCAGGGAAAGGAUUCUGCUGUCGGUCCCACUCCAAAGUUCACAGAAUGGGUGGUGGGCACAGAAUCUGGACUCUGCUUGUG
ensembl:miRNA MIR541 microRNA 541